ACAAACAUGUUCAACCUCAAAAUUGGUGUGCUCCAUGUGUGCACUGACUUGUUUCAGAGUUCAUCACUAUCAAAGCUGCAUGCAAAUGAUUUUUGAAAGGAUACAACAUGGGAUGUGACAUUCAUGUCUGUGUGCUUGCUUCGAUUACAGUGUGUGCUCUAUGAUUCACAUUUCUUGUAACUGAAAUGCAAAUUGCAUGGUAAAGUUCAUGUGAUGUGAUAUGUGUUUGAGAUUCAUGAUGUGCAAGUACCAUGAGGGAAAUGUGAAAAGGACUUUGAAAAGAGAAAUUAAACCAAAGCCCUGCAUUUGCUUGAUUGUAAACGUAAGUGAGGAUUGUAAUAGUUAAUGUCUCUGCAUCAGUUGACACGUCUAAUGUGUUGUUGCAUGCUUGGCAUUAUGUUCAGCACCACUGAGUGUGCGUACUAGCUUUGAUUGAACUGAUUUCAUGUGGAACUGUUGAAUGAAGAUGCAUGUACACUUGUGUGAAGUAAUGUAUGCACCAGCUGUGAUCAUGCAUUGUCUGCACGUGUUUUCAUGUGCUUCCUUGCUAAUUCUUGAUGUCACUUGGCAUAUUAUAACUACCCUCACUUGACCCGUCUUGAAACACGGACCAAGGAGUCUGGCAAGUGUGCGAACUGACUUUGUGUCAAGACUUGCAUGUAAUGAACAUGACUGUUUCAUGACAUCACCACCAAUCAAUUUUCAGUUUGUUGAUAAUUUGAAUGUGAGCAUUGUUGCUAGGACCCGAAAGAUGGUGAACUAUGCUUGCAUAACAUGAAUUCAGAGGAAACUCUGAUGGAAGUUUGUAUCGGUACUGACGUGCAAAUC
rnacentral:rRNA from 1 species